UACGAAGGGGGCUAGCGUUGCUCGGAAUCACUGGGCGUAAAGCGCACGUAGGCGGGUCGUUAAGUCGGGGGUGAAAUCCUGGAGCUCAACUCCAGAACUGCCUUCGAUACUGGCGAUCUUGAGUCUGGGAGAGGUGAGUGGAACUCCGAGUGUAGAGGUGAAAUUCGUAGAUAUUCGGAAGAACACCAGUGGCGAAGGCGGCUCACUGGCCCGGUACUGACGCUGAGGUGCGAAGGCUAGGGGAGCGAACAGG
rnacentral:rRNA from 1 species